CACGUAGGGUGCGAGCGUUGUCCGGAAUUAUUGGGCGUAAAGAGCUCGUAGGCGGUGUGUCGCGUCGGCCGUGAAAACCUGCAGCUUAACUGUGGGCUUGCGGUCGAUACGGGCAUCACUGGAGUUCGGCAGGGGAGACUGGAAUUCCUGGUGUAGCGGUGAAAUGCGCAGAUAUCAGGAGGAACACCGGUGGCGAAGGCGGGUCUCUGGGCCGCAACUGACACUGAGGAGCGAAAGCAUGGGGAGCGAACAGG
rnacentral:rRNA from 1 species